UACGUAGGGUGCAAGCGUUGUCCGGAAUUAUUGGGCGUAAAGAGCUCGUAGGCGGUCUGUCGCGUCGGCUGUGAAAACUCGGGGCUCAACCCCCGAGCCUGCAGUCGAUACGGGCAGACUAGAGUGCGGUAGGGGAGACUGGAAUUCCUGGUGUAGCGGUGAAAUGCGCAGAUAUCAGGAGGAACACCGGUGGCGAAGGCGGGUCUCUGGGCCGUAACUGACGCUGAGGAGCGAAGGUCAGGGGAGCAAACGGG
rnacentral:rRNA from 1 species